UUACCCUUAUCCUGCUCAACGGGCUCUGGUCGUCCGGCCGCGAAGAGAGGGAAGACCAGAGGACCACCAGCCCCAGGAAGCUUCCCACUAUCAGCAGACUGCGAUUUCCACAAAGCAUUUGAAGGAAGAAUCUCAAUGAAGAGCAUGGUUCCUGAAGUGUAGACUGGUUUCUAGUUUUCUGUGAGGUGCCCACCUGAGGGAGAGAGAGAGAGGCAAAUACAGCUCCUGUCUACUUAUUUACUCCCUAAAUGGCAACAACAGCCAGGGCUGGACCAGAGCUAAAGCCAAGGGCCUGAAACAGUGCAGGUCUCCCACGCAAAGCAGGAACCCUACUGUUUGAGCCGUCAUUGCCACCUUUGAGGGUCUGUGCAAUCAGGAGCUGCAGUCAGGAGCCAGGAAGCAAACCCAGGUACUCUGAUGUGGAAUGAGGGAAUCUUAACCACUAAACUAAAUAUCCGCCUCCGGUGUAAGUUUUGCUAACCUCAGAACUCUUACCACUAACAUCUUUGCCAAACUGGACUAGCCUUCCAGGCCUGCAAUAUAAAUAAGUGCUUCCAGACAGGAUGCAAAAAGUCAGGGAAUUAAAGAUUUGUUUUCUUUUUUUAAAAAAAAAAAUUCCUGUGUCAGUUCUGCCGUGGGAGAACCCACUGUAAGGAUUUGUGCCCAUUCUUGGACUGCACUCCCCUGGGCUCUCACCAGCUUCCUCUAUGCUGCAGCCAAACCUUUCGAAGUGUAACUCAGCUUGCCUUUAGACCUUUGUAAAGGGAGUUCUUUUUGCCUGAAAUACCUUCUGAUGCCUUAACAUUCAGCUUAGAUGUCAGUUACAAAAAGCUCUUUUCCUAGAGUUUCCCUCAUCAUUCCCCAUCAAUGUACUGGGCUGGGUCCCCUACCAGGUGCUUCCUCUGAGCAUAUGCUUUUCCUUCCCUGUUAAUUAUCACUGCACUGUAACCUUCUUCUACUCCCACAUAAAAAGGCACAUGAAGGUACAGCCUAUUAUAUCCCCGUGGCUGCUGUGGAGAAAGGGUUCAAUAAAUAGUUUCUGAUGGGUUGCUAAGUAAUUGGGUUGAGAAUAUAAAAGGAAGAAACUUUGAAGAGAGGUCAGGGGUUGCUCAAGUGUCAUUCCUCUACCUGGAUGUUUUUACAAAGAAAAAAUACUUAAGGUUUUCUUUCACUAGAAAUGUGAUUAUUUUGCACAUGUUCAUCAUCAUCAACAGAGAUGCUACUGUUUCUUCCUGAUUCAGCAUCCUACGAGGGACUAAAGAGAAAGUGAUAGUUUUAAUUUAAAUUCAGAUGCUUGUAUACCCUGAGAUUUAAUCUUUUUUAAAGUAUUGAAAUGGGAACAUGCAGCUAAGAGCAAUACUCUUUGCAGCCACAUUUCAACUACAUCUAGUUGCCAAGUACUGAGGUUAAAUUAGAAUCGGUGACCUAUAAAUUUUAAGUUAAGUACCCUGUUAGCUAUUCCAUAAGCCACUUAAUCACCUCUUCUUCUAGAAGGAAGGGAUCACCAAUAGUAAUAUUUUAAAGUCAAGAUGUUUAGAAAAGAAAUACUAUUUAUGUGUCAAGGGGAGUGUGGUUUAUUAAGAAUAUACUGAUUUUAUAUAGUGU